ensembl:snRNA
GUGUUGUAUGAAUGAAGAUAAGGUUAGCACUCCCCUUGAAAAGGAUGGAAGAGACCCUCAUGCCUUACAACAUGCAUAUGGUUAAGGAAUUUCCAUCUACUUUGUGGCAUGCAACCACUGCUUUUA